rnacentral:rRNA from 1 species
UAUGCUUGGCUAUAAACCCAGAUGUAACCUUACAUACACAUCCGCCAGGGUACUACGAGCGCAGCUUAAAACCCAAAGGACUUGGCGGUGUCUCAGACCCACCUAGAGGAGCCUGUUCUAGAACCGAUAACCCCCGUUAAACCUCACCACUUCUUGUCUUUCCCGCCUAUAUACCGCCGUCGUCAGCUUACCCUGUGAAGGCCUAACAGUAAGCAAAAUGGGCACACCCAAAAACGUCAGGUCGAGGUGUAGCAUACGAAGUGGGAAGAAAUGGGCUACAUUUUCUUUAAAAAGAAUAAUACGAAUGGUAUAGUGAAACAUAUACCUGAAGGUGGAUUUAGUAGUAAAAAGUAAACAGAGCGCACUUUUGAAUUAGGCUCUGAGACGC